AGAGUUUGAUCCUGGCUCAGAUUGAACGCUGGCGGCAUGCCUUACACAUGCAAGUCGAACGGCAGCAUGAUCUAGCUUGCUAGAUUGAUGGCGAGUGGCGAACGGGUGAGUAAUACAUCGGAACGUGCCCUGUAGUGGGGGAUAACUAGUCGAAAGAUUAGCUAAUACCGCAUACGACCUGAGGGUGAAAGUGGGGGACC
rnacentral:rRNA from 1 species